UACGUAGGGGGCGAGCGUUGUCCGGAUUUAUUGGGCGUAAAGCGCGCGUAGGCGGUGUCGCAAGUCGGCCGUGAAAUCUCCAGGCUCAACUUGGAGGGGUCGGGCGAGACUGCGGCGCUGGAGGCAGGCAGAGGGCGGUGGAAUUCCGGGUGUAGUGGUGGAAUGCGUAGAGAUCCGGAGGAACACCAGUGGCGAAGGCGGCCGCCUGGGCCUGACCUGACGCUGAGGCGCGAAAGCGUGGGGAGCGAUCCGG
rnacentral:rRNA from 1 species